CUAGUUCCAGAGACAGGGAGGGCUGAUAAAGAAGGGCAAGCUUUGCGUGCAUGUAUAUAUAGGUGUGUGGACGCAAUGUUCAGUGGACGGUGACCAUCCACGAACAUCCAGUCCAGGACCCCUGCCUGUGGGAUGGUACCAGCCACCUUCAGGGUGAGUCUCCCCCUCAGUGAAGCCUCCCUGGGAGCACCCUCACAGACAUGCCCAGAGGUAUGUUUUCUAGGUGAUCACAGCCACUGGAAUUCAAGAUGGCAAUGGCCAUGCCCACAAUGGAGGAAACAGCUAUACAACAGAGCUCAGGAUAGGAAAGAACUGCCAGUUCAUGAGUCC